rnacentral:rRNA from 1 species
GAUGAACGCCGGCGGCGUGCCUAAUACAUGCAAGUCGAGCGAAUGGAUUAAGAGCUUGCUCUUAUGAAGUUAGCGGCGGACGGGUGAGUAACACGUGGGUAACCUGCCCAUAAGACUGGGAUAACUCCGGGAAACCGGGGCUAAUACAGGAUAAUAUUUUGAACUGCAUGGUUCAAAAUUGAAAGUCGGCUUCGGCUGUCACUUAUGGAUGGACCCGCGUCGCAUUAGCUAGUUGGUGAGGUAACGGCUCACCAAGGCAACGAUGCGUAGCCGACCUGAGAGGGUGAUCGGCCACACUGGGACUGAGACACGGCCCAGACUCCUACGGGAGGCAGCAGUAGGGAAUCUUCCGCAAUGGACGAAAGUCUGACGGAGCAACGCCGCGUGAGUGAUGAAGGCUUUCGGGUCGUAAAACUCUGUUGUUAGGGAAGAACAAGUGCUAGUUGAAUAAGCUGGCACCUUGACGGUACCUAACCAGAAAGCCACGGCUAACUACGUGCCAGCAGCCGCGGUAA